AGUUAGUUCUGCCUUUCAUCUUGGAGCCUCUUAGGAGAUACAGGCCAGAAAAAGCCAACUUUUCCUCCAAUUGGGAGAUCAAUUCCCUCCAACAGAAUCUCAUCAGUGUAGAGACACAGAUUGUAUCCUUCAUGGGCAUUACCUCAUGUAUGCUGCAUAGUGACUGAAUUUAUUGUCAUGUAGCCCCCUCUUGCAACACCAUGUACAAAAAUAACUCAAGGCCAC